UACGUAGGGGGCUAGCGUUAUCCGGAAUCAUUGGGCGUAAAGCGCGUGUAGGCGGCCCGGUAAGUCCGCUGUGAAAGUCGGGGGCUCAACCCUCGGAAGCCGGUGGAUACUGUCGGGCUCGAGUACGGAAGAGGCGAGUGGAAUUCCUGGUGUAGCGGUGAAAUGCGCAGAUAUCAGGAGGAACACCGAUGGCGAAGGCAGGUCUCUGGGCCAUAACUGACGCUGAGAAGCGAAAGCAUGGGGAGCGAACAGG
rnacentral:rRNA from 1 species